UCAGAGCGAACGUUAGCGGCGGGCCUAACACAUGCAAGUCGAGCGAGAAAGUGGCUUCGGCCAUCAGUAAGCGGCGGACGGGUGAGUGAACACGUAGGUAAUCUUCCCUUGAGCGGGGGACAACGAGCCGAAAGGCUCGCUAAUAGCCGCAUACGUUUCUCGGACUCUGGUCUGAAGAAGGAAAGCUAGGCCGCAAGGUCCGGCACUCGAGGAGGAGCCUGCGUCGCAUCAGCUAGUUGGUGGGGUAACGGCCUACCAAGGCGAAGACGCGUAGCUGGUCUGAGAGGAUGAUCAGCCACACUGGGACUGAGACACGGCCCAGACUCCUACGGGAGGCAGCAGUGGGGGAAUAUUGGACAAUGGGCGCAAGCCUGAUCCAGCCACGCCGCGUGAGUGAUGAAGGCCUUCGGGUCGUAAAGCUCUGUGGGGAGGGACGAACCGCCGGUGGUUCAUAGCCAACGGCAUGACGGUACCUCCUUAGCAAGCACCGGCUAACUUCGUGCCAGCAGCCGCGGUAA
rnacentral:rRNA from 1 species